rnacentral:rRNA from 1 species
AUGAGCAGCGCGGAGGCGUCGGUGGCGAGGGGCGGCGAGGAGGAGCGGUGCCGGUACAAGGGCGUGCGGCGGCGGCGGUGGGGGAAGUGGGUGUCGGAGAUCCGGGUGCCCGGCACGCGGGAGCGCCUGUGGCUGGGCUCCUACGCCACGCCCGAGGCCGCCGCCGUCGCGCACGACACGGCCGUCUACUUCCUCCGCGGCGGCUCCCUCUCCGGCAACGGCGCCGCUGGGCUCAACUUCCCGGAGCGUGCGGCCGCCGCGUACGGUGCCGGCUCCGUGGCGCCCCUCUCGCCGCGGUCCGUGCAGAGCGUGGCGUCCGACGCGGGCAUGGCCGCCGACGCGCAGCUCGUGGCGGCGCGGGACGGCGUGCCCAGGCAGCACUACGCGGAGGCGCGCGCCGGCGCUGGCACCGCGCAGGGCGGCGCGAACGCGGAGCUCCAGCACGACGGCGCGUAUGCGUACACGUAUACGGGGGACGGCGGGGACACCACUGGCGGUGGCGGUGGUACCAGUAGGGAGCAGCUUGUCUCCGGGGAGCUCAGCGUCGACGACAUGGAGAUAUUGAUGUAA